AUUCGGUAGAAUCGGGACGCAGUCGUGACAGACUCGGUCGAAUUUUACCUGGCGAAAGAUACAAAUCGGAUUAGAAGCGGAUUUAGAACGGGAUUAUCGGGAUAAAUUCGCUUGGAAACGGUUGAAUAUCGACGCUUCCUGAACAAUAUCUGAUUGCUGUCGUGAUUAAAUUUUUUUUUUACAAAUUUUAAUUAAAGUUUGAAUUUCCAUCCACG
rnacentral:lncRNA from 1 species